UAAGAACCUGUACUGGGGUGGUAGCAGUGAGAAUGGAGACGUGUACUGACACAAGGCUGUUGGGGAGGUGGAAUCGACAAUGCUAGGUGUGACUUAGGUGGAUUGCAUGGAUAUGAGGUGGCAUGUCACCCCAGCCACCAGCCCUGUGGUCUAAUCAACCUUGGAGCGAGAGUAACAGACUUGUAUGUGCAUGUAUAAACAUUCCAACCCCAUCAAGAUACAUGGCUUCAAAGAGUUGGAAAAAGAGAAAUCCUUACAGAUUGGAUUUUGGAUGAAUCCACAAGUAGGUUAAGGGAUAUGGCUCAAGAUUAUUAAAAUGUGAAAAUCUGUAUGGCUUACCUCUAUUUUGCUUGGUUGGAAAAUUUCCUCAUUCAGUUUGGAAUCUCUGUAUUGUUUUUUCCCCAUAGAAAACCAGCUUUUCUGUGGCCAUCUGGUUUAUUAUACAGUAAACUAAA